rnacentral:tRNA from 1 species
AAAGUGGAGAGUCUUUGUAGUAUAACAAUUACCUUGGUCUUGUAAGCCAAAAACGGAGAAUAUCUACCCUCCCUAAGACU